CUUCUGAAGGCUGGAUGAUGGGAGAGGCAGUGCUGGGCAGGACAAACACUCAACAGACAGUGGGACCCUCCCUUCCCUGCAGAGAGGAUCCCCACCUGCUGGUUCUAUGCUCAUGGCCAAGUGAUGCCUCCCGCGCUGGUGAAGACACUUACUGGACAGGGAACCCACAUGGCUGCAUCAUCAUUCCCUAAACACAUGGCUUAUGCUGGGUUCACUCUUGGUGUUCACUGCUUGGUGGGUUGUUCUGACGAGUGCGUCACUCCCAGCUCUGUCAUAGCUUUAAGCAGAAAGGGUGUGCCACCGUCUUGCAGCUCUGUGUGUCUGUCUCCCACCCCGCUGGCACCCAGCCUUUUGUACUUCAUGGCAGUCUGCAAAGACAGAGCAGGGAUGUCACUCAGGUAAGACCUGCUUCCUAUCCUGGGUGGUAAAAAGCUCGUGGCCACAUUCAUUGCCAUAUCUCUGGGAUCUCUUAUCAUACAGUCCAUGUGUCAACUACCUGUCAGCUCUGUUGAUGGAGAAGGAAGUUACAGAUGCUGUCGUGGAUGAGCAGCAGAGAGAAAGAGGAUAAAGGAGGGCUCCUGGAACUGGUUGGAGCAGGUGGUGUUCGGGAGCAAAGAGGAAGCUGCCCCAGAGUCACUGUGGUCCGGGCCAGGAGCUUCCCUUUAAGACAAGAGAUUGUCAAAGCACAGUGGUCUUCAGGCAAAGCAACUGAGAAUGCACAGUAGGGCCUCUUCUGGCAGUGAGGUGUUUGCUCUUUCUCUCAGGAGCUGGUGAGGGCCAGAGCCAAGAAUCAUGUCCUGGGUGCUCAGCCCUGAGAUGCACUACCAGGACAUGGUGUGUGGCUAUCUGAGUCUUCUGUCUUUUGGAGUCACUUCCAGAUCUUUCGGCCCAGUAAAUGAUUAAUCAGUUAAAUAGACACAGGCUCCUUAAAGAAACCGGCUUCCCUUCCUACCUGCCCCAGUUGCUCCUGAAUUUACUCUGUCAGUGAGCCAGUUUCUAGGACAAGCCUCACUGGCUUUUAUUUUAUUUUAUUUUAUUUUAUUGCCAGAGCCUUGUGACCUUGAAGCCAAGCAGUGACAUUACUUGUCCUGAAGUUUCCUAUGUCUCAUCUCCUCUAAGAUCUGAGGGAGGGGACCCCUCAGGAUCCCUUUGGGACUCUUGGAAGGGGGCAGGAUGCUGGUGGCUUCAUUUGCCCAGAAGGCAGGGUAAACCAGUGACCCCCACCCCCCCUUUUGCUACCUGGC
rnacentral:lncRNA from 1 species